rnacentral:misc_RNA from 1 species
AUCUAAUGCUUGAUCUGAGUUAACAUGCACCUAACAUCCUUACUGUUAGGCCUCUCCUUUGGAUUGUCGAGAGUACAAAAGCAAGCUAUCUUGAGAACCAAAAGCAUUUGUUCGUCGUAUCCAUUUCCUAUAAGCUUAGGAUCAAUUGCUAUUUUAGGAUCGUCAGAAGUCAUUACAUUCCUCAGCCACUUAACUAAACUCAUCUCAGAAGUAUGUUGGAAAAAAUCAUCCGAUGGACCCUUACCGAUAACCAACACAGCUAGCACCACACCAAAGCUGUAUAUAUCACACUUAUCUGUAAACUUCAGUGUCUGAUAAUAUUCUGGUGCAAUAAAUCCAACAGUUCCUGCAACAUUUGAAGUGGUGAUAUGUGUAUGAGCAUCUGGAACUGCCUUUGCAAGGCCAAAAUCAGCA